rnacentral:tRNA from 1 species
GGUUCCAUAGCGAAGCGGUUAGCAAGUCUGCUUUACACGCAGAAGGGCCUGGGUUCGCACCCUAGUGGAGCCA